rnacentral:rRNA from 1 species
UCCAGACUCCUACGGGAGGCAGCAGUGGGGAAUAUUGCACAAUGGGGGGAACCCUGAUGCAGCGACGCCGCGUGGGUGAGGAAGUACUUCGGUAUGUAAAGCCCUCUCAGCAGGGAAGAAAAUGACGGUACCUGACUAAGAAGCCCCGGCUAACUACGUGCCAGCAGCCGCGGUAAUACGUAGGGGGCAAGCGUUAUCCGGAUUUACUGGGUGUAAAGGGAGCGUAGACGGCGUGCCAAGUCUGAUGUGAAAGGCCGGGGCUCAACCCCGGGACUGCAUUGGAAACUGGCAUGCUGGAGUGCCGGAGGGGCAAGCGGAAUUCCUAGUGUAGCGGUGAAAUGCGUAGAUAUUAGGAGGAACACCAGUGGCGAAGGCGGCUUACUGGACUGUAACUGACGUUGAGGCUCGAAAGCGUGGGGAGCAAACAGGAUUAGAUACCCGUGUA